rnacentral:rRNA from 1 species
GAACUUUCCAGAGAUGGAUUGGUGCCUUCGGGAACUGUGAGACAGGUGCUGCAUGGCUGUCGUCAGCUCGUGUUGUGAAAUGUUGGGUUAAGUCCCGCAACGAGCGCAACCCUUAUCCUUUGUUGCCAGCGGUCCGGCCGGGAACUCAAAGGAGACUGCCAGUGAUAAACUGGAGGAAGGUGGGGAUGACGUCAAGUCAUCAUGGCCCUUACGACCAGGGCUACACACGUGCUACAAUGGCGCAUACAAAGAGAAGCGACCUCGCGAGAGCAAGCGGACCUCAUAAAGUGCGUCGUAGUCCGGAUUGGAGUCUGCAACUCGACUCCAUGAAGUCGGAAUCGCUAGUAAUCGUGGAUCAGAAUGCCACGGUGAAUACGUUCCCGGGCCUUGUACACACCGCCCGUCACACCAUGGGAGUGGGUUGCAAAAGAAGUAGGUAGCU